UCAGUCGACUCCUACGGGGAGGCAGCAGUGGGGAAUAUUGCACAAUGGGGGAAGCCCUGAUGCAGCCAUGCCGCGUGUGUGAAGAAGGCCUUCGGGUUGUAAAGCACUUUCAGUAGGGAGGAAGGUAGUGUAGUUAACACCUGCAUUAUUUGACGUUACCUACAGAAGAAGCACCGGCUAACUCCGUGCCAGCAGCCGCGGUAAUACGGAGGGUGCGAGCGUUAAUCGGAAUUACUGGGCGUAAAGCGCAUGCAGGCGGCCUGUUAAGUCAGAUGUGAAAGCCCGGGGCUUAACCUCGGAAUUGCAUUUGAAACUGGCAGGCUAGAGUCUUGUAGAGGGGGGUAGGAAUUUCAGGUGUAGCGGUGAAAUGCGUAGAGAUCUGAAGGAAUACCAGUGGCGAAGGCGGCCCCCUGGACAAAGACUGACGCUCAGAUGCGAAAGCGUGGGGAGCAAACAGGAUUAGAUACCCUGGUAG
rnacentral:rRNA from 1 species